GGUGUAGCUCAGUUGGUAGAGCCCCGGAUUGUGAUUCCGGUCGUCGCGGGUUCGAGUCCCGUCAUC
rnacentral:tRNA from 1 species